GAGUACUCGGUUAUCAACUAACAACAAAUUAAUUCGAAUUGUCAACCAGUUCAGGGAAGGAGUACCCCGAACUAUAGUGCCCUUUGGCUACUGAGCGAAAUAUGUACCUGGGUCGUGAACAUUUUUCUUAACGCCAUAGCAGAAAUAUUUCGAUUGAUUAAUCGCAAAAAAAUAUAAUUAUAAUUCAAACUUUUUUUUACAAUAUUGUAUUGUUUUGUUUUUAACUAUUUUAUGAAACAUUAUAAACAUAGAUGUUCCCAUGAUGAUAAAAGAUGAUAUUUAAAUAUUUAAAUAUUUUAGUGGCUAGUAUAUUGUGUAUAUCUUCACCUUAUAUAAUAAAACCGAUAAUAUGAGCAUAUAUCUUAGAAACUUAAAGUUGGCCAUGUUCGUUUAUCGACUAGUUACAAUGUACAUGAGCUGCUGAACGUACCACGUUCCGAUCGGUUACGCCGGUCGCGACCGCGACCGCGGUAAAUGGCGGCGAUGACCACAGUCACGAAUUAAGAUCUUAAUUCGUGUGUACAACAAAUAAACAGCACCUAUUCGUGCUUCUUUUGAUUUAGAUCUCAAAAACUUGCUGGCUACUGCAAGACAAUUCUGUGUGGUUGUAAUGUAAUGACGUGGGGAUACAUAUGUGUGCUUUCCUCCUCUAUUGGGUUUAGCAUAGAUUUCGUGAAAUUUUGUAGAACUAAAACUUUCUAAAAACGAGCUGUACAUUAAUGUUUUACUUUUGAUGAAUAAAUCAAUUAAACUAAAAGAAUCAAUAAAUAAAUUUGAAUAGUGGGAACUCAGUUCUUUUGAAACUUUGAUAUUGUUUAAGGUAGUUUUGUUCUGUGUAGUGGAUGGAAUUGGGAAAACGAAUUCUUCUUCAUCACUCUCAUCUUCAUUACCUGUACUAGAAUACUCAAAUUCUGACAUUUAUAUAAUUACCUAAAAAUUAGUAAAUUAAUAUACUUAAGAAAUAUGUAAUAUUUAGAUGAGAGAAGCAGAGAACAGUUUAAAAUUUAAAUGUUUAAAUUCUAAUUUUGAGUUUUAACUACAGUGAUUGAUAAUAACUGAUAAAAGUGUUAUCAAAUGAACGCGUAUCAGUUGUGUUGCCUAUGUGAAUAAUUUCAAGGAGCAACUAAUUAAUGAUCCAAGUAGCGUGCCGCAGAGCUUUGAAAACGAUCACAUGGACUUGCCUGGUAUGGACGGUAUGGUGGUGUAUCGCCAGGUUAACGAUUCCUCACGAGAUCAUUGGACGUAUAUGUAUCAUGCUGUUAAAGGUCGGUUUUACAAAAAUGACGAAAAAAGAGAUGAUCAAAGCUGGGAUAAAAGUCAUUGAAAAUUAAUACAUCACUGUGCAAGGUGCAACUGUAUAAGAACUAAGAAAUGAAGACAAAAUUAAAUUUGUAUAAUAUUUAUUGAAUAUUUUUAUGAAUAAAUCAUA